rnacentral:rRNA from 1 species
UACGGUGGGGGCAAGCGUUGUUCGGAAUUACUGGGCGUAAAGGGCUCGUAGGCGGCCAACUAAGUCGGAUGUGAAAUCCCCAAGCUUAACUUGGGAACUGCAUCCGAUACUGGAUGGCUUGAAUCCGGGAGAGGGAUGCAGAAUUCCAGGUGUAGCGGUGAAAUGCGUAGAUAUCGGGAGGAACACCCGUAGCGAAGGCGGCCGACUGGACCACACCUGACGCUGAGGCGCGAAGGCCAGGGGAGCGAACGGG